rnacentral:misc_RNA from 1 species
UGGCUCUCGCAUCGAUGAAGAACGCAGCGAAACGCGAAAUGUAAUGUGAAUUGCAGAACCUCCCUGAAUCAUCGAAUCUUUGAACGCAUCUUGCGCUCGAUGGUAUUCCGUCGAGCAUGUCUGUUUGAGUGUCGCAUCAAUGUCAGAUGGAUUAGUUCGACUAGCCUUCUGGAACCAUCGUGGGCGUAGGCGGGAGUCAUAUUCUGCCGGCCCGUAAUGCAAUAUGUUAGCCAAUUUUUUGUAUUAGCGUUCGAGUGUUGUAAGGUUCUCAUCAAACCUCACUGGCGUUUUUAUCAUAACCUGGUUAUCCUUAACAAAAUAUUUCAAAAGUUUGACCUCAAAUCAGGCAGGAUUACCCGCUGA